rnacentral:rRNA from 1 species
AAUUUGAAGCAACGCGAAGAACCUUACGUGAUCUUGACAUCCCCUUGACAGCUCUGUAAUGGGAGUUUUCCUUCGGGACAGGGGAGACAGGUGGUGCAUGGUUGUCGUCAGCUCGUGUCGUGAGAUGUUGGGUUAAGUCCCGCAACGAGCGCAACCCCUAUCUUCAGUAGCCAGCAUUUUAGAUGGGCACUCUGGAGAGACUGCCAGGGACAACCUGGAGGAAGGUGGGGACGACGUCAAAUCAUCAUGCCCCUUAUGACCAGGGCUACACACGUGCUACAAUGGCGUAAACAAAGGGAAGCGACCAUGUGAAUGCGAGCAAAUCCCAAAAAUAACGUCUCAGUUCGGAUUGUAGUCUGCAACUCGACUACAUGAAGCUGGAAUCGCUAGUAAUCGCGAAUCAGAAUGUCGCGGUGAAUACGUUCCCGGGUCUUGUACACACCGCCCGUCACACCAUGGGAGUCAGUAACGCCCGAAGCCGGUGACCCAACCAAACGGAGGGAGCCGUCGAAGGUGGGAUCGAUAACUGGGGUGAAGUCGUAACAAGGUAACCGU